CAAAAUUAUGACAGAGCUAAUUUUUCAUUUUCAAAAAAAAUCUGAAAUUUAAAAUUCAAAUUGAAAACUCAAUACUCUAAACUAUAAAUCUAAAAAUCCAAUAUUCUAAAUUCUAAAUCUAAAAAUAAAUAAAAACGAAAAAAUAACAAAUUUAACCCUAAUUUAAAUUGAUUUUUUUCCGUCGGUAAUGGACGGUCCAAAUUACUUUUUGCCGCAACAAAUAAAAUUCCUCUAUUUGUUACGAAUCCGGAGUCCUAUACGCACAAUCAAAGUCGAUGCAUUGCUGCUGCCUUUGCCUCAACUCUGGGACGAUUCUCCAUUGCAAUAGCUGCAAUUCGGAGUGCGGAGUUGAUUCAAUAUAUGUAAUGGGGUUCCGCCAUAUCAAUCAUCAGCUUGGAAAAGGAGCCACUCCAACCCUAGUUCUAACACUGUGGUCGUGGAGCUUAAUGAAUAUUCUUUUAAUUAUUACAUAUAUAUAAAAUAACAGUGAUUAGGAGAUAGCUAGAUUUGCAGAGAAAGCAUCUAAUUAACCAAAAUAAGAAAAUGGCAAGCAAACCAAUGAAUACAUCAUUACCUGGAAAGAGUAAGGAACGAUAUGAGAUGGGUGAUGCUCAUAUAUCAGUGUUUGUAGAUUGCAAUAUAAUGCAUAUGGAACCGAUUGGAAUUCCAGCUCUUGCUCGUUCUUCCCGGCCUGUUGAAAUUUCAAAUUAGCGAGCGCCCAACAAGAAAGAAGAAGAAGAAGAAGAAGAAGAAGAAGAAGAAGAGGAGGAGGAGGAGGGAGGAAACCGUCUGUUUCCGAUUGGCAGGCAAGAAUAAUAUGCUGGAUGUCGGAAUGGAAAGGAAUGAGCAGAGGAAAUUGAAGAUUAAUGUCACAACUCAGCUGUUGAGCUUCAAUCAACGUAACGGAUAGGCAAACCCCAAAACCCAACUUUUUACAAGGAAGGAAAGCGACUUUAUGAAAUCGAUAGAAGAAGAAACACGUG
rnacentral:lncRNA from 1 species